rnacentral:misc_RNA from 1 species
GAUGAAGAACGUAGUGAAAUGCGAUAAGUAAUGUGAAUUGCAGAAUUCAGUGAAUCAUCGAGUCUUUGAACGCACAUUGCGCCCCCUGGUAUUCCGGGGGGCAUGCCUGUCCGAGCGUCAUUGCUGCCCUCAAGCACGGCUUGUGUGUUGGGCCCCGUCCUCCGUUCCCGGGGGACGGGCCCGAAAGGCAGCGGCGGCACCGCGUCCGGUCCUCGAGCGUAUGGGGCUUUGUCACCCGCUCUGUAGGCCCGGCCGGCGCUUGCCGAUCAACCCAAAUUUUUAUCCAGGUUGACCUCGGAUCAGGUAGGGAUACCCGCUGAACUUAAGCAUAUCAAUAAGCGGAGGA